UGCUACAUAAUCAACUGGAGUGAUUGUUAAGAAUUUGACAGGCCUUUCUCUGCUUCCUCUCUGUCUUUACCUCCCCAGGAGCCAUAUGAAAAUGGAGCAGUAUGCGAGGCAAAUGUUUAUGCCUGGAGAACCCAGGGGAACAGAACCCAGAAUGUUUGAAGACCACUGAUCCAGAAUACACAGCUUAUAAACUACAGCUGAUUUUCCAUCCCACAGGAAGAAAACCUCUUGCCGAAGAAUUUCCUCUAGCUCUUGUUUAGCCAAAUCUAUCGAUCCAGCUGAGAGGAGAAAGGAGGGUAAACUUCAUUAUUAUUUUCAGAGACACACAUUCAAAGGGUAUAGGAGACAUAGUAACCUAUUUUUACUGUAGAAGAGUGGACGACAAGACUAAUUCUUCCUAAGGAGAUAGAUUGGGAAGGUUUUAUAGAAGAGAUUUCUCAAAAGAAGUGUGGCAUAGAAAGCACUGAUAAACUCUUGAUAAGAGAAAGUGGAUAAGGGACAUUUUGAAAAGAAAGAAAUAGCAUAAAUAAAGGAAAAAGGAGGCAAAAAUACAGGGCUUGUUUGGUGACUAGCAUGAGGCUCCAUGUGAUUAAAAGGUAAAGUCCAAUAGGUGGAAUGGGGAGACUGCAGUGGCUGAGGCCAUUUCAUGGAAGCCUUGAAUGCCUUGCUAACUUUAACAUUUUUAGAAAGCAAUGGGAAAAAACCCGAAGUUUUUGAGUUUAUUUUGCUUUUAAAGCUAGGAACUCACUUUUUCCAAGUUUUACACUAGAAGGAGUAAUUCGGCAGCAUUGUGUAUCCGGGUAACUAGGAGAAGAACACCUGGGGCACUGAUGCAAUUGUCCAGAAGGCAAAUACAACAGCCUAAAUUAUGACAAUGAAAUCGUGAGAAUGGAGAAGAUGCAUUCAGAAGACAUCAUAGAAACACAUUUGGAAGGACUUCUCAAUUAGAUGGGGGACUGGAAGAAUGGUACUGUUAAUUAAAAUUGAGUUGUAAGAAAGACAAAGUGUUGGGUAAGAGGUGAGGAGGGUAGUGACUUAGGUCAGGUUUUCUGAGAUGAUGGAGAUUUGCAUGUAGGAAGUUUGUUGAGGAGUUUGAUGAUUCUGUAGGAGGACUCAGAGGAUUCAGCAUAUAGUUGUACUCACAGCUGUAAUUUAUUAUAGCAAAAGGAUUUUGAGAAUGACAGCAAAGGGAAAAGGUGCAUGAGAUGAAGUCCAGAGGAAAUCAAGAACAAGCUUCCAAGAGUUCUUUCCCAGUGGAGUCAAACAUGACAUGUGCGGCAACACUUAAGAAAUGAUGUCCACCAGGGAAGCUCAGCUGAGACUCCGUGCCUAGGGUUUUUAUUCAGGACUGGUCCUGUAGGUAUUCUUAGCCUAGCAUGUAACACAAUUCCAGGCUCCUGUAAGAAAAGCAGGUGUUUGGCAUAAACCACAUUGUUUUAACAAACGGUUUAGGCAUGAUGAGCUUCUUUUAUCAAUUCUGGGAAUGGUAUGAAUCCUACUGAAAUCCUAGUUCCUAGAUGUCAGCCACGGGCCAAACUUGUAAGCUUCUGUUUCAAAGAAUGGCAGUCCUAGGCUGCCAUGCUAACUCUUAGCAUGGGUGUGCUUGUAGGAAUAGUACCUAUGUAGAAGAAAGGGCACACGACAGGGCCAAGGGAAAAUGAUUCAACUGAACCAAAAAAGCAGUUGCAACAAAGGCCUUAGCCAAUUGCACAGACAAGCUCUGGAGCUAAAUGGCUCUUCAAAGAUGUGCUAAAUUGAGGUGGCGGGUUAGGCCUUCCUACCCUCACAUUGACCAGAUAUUUAUAGAUCUCUGAAACUAAGAGAAGCAAUUCCUUGAGCAUUUCUUGGGGAAGGAAGACGGAACUUAGCAACCUUUCAGAAAACCGAGUCAUUGAGCAUUUCAGUCCUGUGGUUGUCAUACCCCAGCUCUCUCCUCAGAGGACAUGAUGAACUGAGUGUUGCUGGUUCUAUCAAUGGCUCCAUUGCUUCUUUGCUAAUGAGAUCUAACCACACUGAAGACGUUGGAAUUCUAAUUUAAAAAAUUCAAAUUCCACAGUAUCUAAAUACAAGCAAUGUGUACAUAGGUUAUAUAGAACAGAAAAUUUCUGAAGUAUCUUGGCACCUAAGGGCCCUGAGAACAACCCUGAAUUUUCUCCAAAAGGCCAUAUGGAGAGCACCACUCACUCAUCACAAAUAUCUGGCAAAAUCCUUUUCCAACCCCACUAGCCACUUAGAGGAAUUCUGCCUUGAAAUGCUUUGCCAAGCACAACGGAAUCUGCCCCACUGCCAGGUAAAGGUAGCAUCCUAUCCUGUUUGCAAGUAGUUGUGCAUACAAUGAUACUUUGACAGCUUGGUUUUCACAUCUCUUUUAAAAAAAAUUAGGUCUUCUGAUCACAUGUAAACUCCAACAGUCUGUAUUAAAAUUCUUUUUUGGAAAUUUAAAUUAAAUUUAUUUUUAGAGACAUGAUCUCGCUCUGUCACCCAGGCUGAAAUGGCACAAUCACAGCUCACUGCAGCCUCAAGCUCCUGCAUUCAAGACAUACUCCUGCCUCAGCCUCCCACAUAACUAAGACUACAAACAUGCACCAUCACACUGAGCUAAGUUUCUAAAUCUUUUUUCUAGAGAUGGAGUCUUGCUAUGUUGCCCAGGCUGGUCCUCAAAUUCCUGGCCUCACGUGACCCUCCUGCCUUGGCCUCCCAAAGUGCUGAGAUUAUAGGCAUGAGUCACUACACCUGGCUUACAAUUCUUAUAAUUGAGAAAAUUUAGAUUUAGAGAUUAUAGGAUGAACACAGGGACUGUCUGCCAGUAAGCAGCAGAUCCAGGGCUGAGUUCUGGAGUCGAAUCUCCAGUGUUCUUUUCACUCCCCUACAAACAUCUGAGUCACUGUCAAAUCCCUCUCCUAGAAAACAGACCCAGGGUCCCAGGUGUGCUUCAGGGAAACUGAAAAUUCUAUUUUUUUUUAAUUUAAGAAAUUAAAAAAAAAUUUAUGUUGUUCUAGUUGUGGCUGAAGUGCCGGAAUCACUAGCAAAUGAGAGACUAACAGACAUAACUUAAUGAACAAGGACAUUAUGAAGGUCUGCAAAGAGCAAUUCCUGCUUUGGGAAUUCAAGUAUUCUGCUGUAUGAGAGAGAUUCUGUUGAUUUUGGAAAUACCGUGAAUCAUUUCCUGAAAGAGCAAAAUAAUGGAGGCUUUUUAUUCCAAGUUUCCAAGAAAUGUUGUCUAAAGGCAGAAGACACUUGGGAAUAUCAGGCUAUGUGUACAGGCUGUUGUGCCCUGGUCAGUACUGGACCUUUCCUCUUAAACACUGGACAACGACUGGAGAAGCAUCUAUGCCCUGGCAGGUGCUAUCUGCCUCCUGAGUGGUCGUGCAGUUGAGGGAGAAGGCUCAUUUCUCUUUGUGCAUUUUAGUAGGUUAUGUUA
rnacentral:lncRNA from 1 species